ensembl:lncRNA
GACUGAAAGAAUAGAUGAGUGCGUUUGAAGGAUCACGCUUCCAUAGAGCAUGUCGUCGAGCCUCUUGGAAUAAGAACAGAUACAAUCAAACAGAGUCACCUUCUCUUCAGUUGUACCAUUCAGUAGUGCCGGUGUUCCAUCUGAAGUGUGACUCUGCUGGGACUUCUUCCACAGCUGGGACAUUAUCCACUGCUGGGACAUCAUCCACUACUGGGACGUCAUCCACUGCUGGGACUUCUUCCACUUCUGGGACUUCUUCCACUGCUGGGACUUCUUCCACGGCUGGGGCAUCAUCCACUGCUGGGACUUCUUCCACGGCUGGGGCAUCAUCCACUGCUGGGACUUCUUCCACAGCUGGGACAUCAUCCACUGCUGGAACAUCAUCCACUGCUGGGACAUCAUCCACUGCUGGGACUUCUUCCACUUCUGGGACUUCCUCCACUGCUGGGACUUCUUCCACAGCUGGGGCAUCAUCCACUGCCGGGACUCCUUCCACUUCUGGGGCAUCAUCCACUGCCGGGAUUUCUUCCACUUCUGGGACUUCGUCCACGGCCGGGGCAUCAUCCACUGCUGGGACUUCUUCCACGGCCGGGGCAUCAUCCACUGCUGGGACUUUGUCCAUGGCUGGGGCAUUAUCCACUGCUGGGACUUCAUCCCUGGCUGUUUUGCUCAAUCUGUAUCUCAGCCACAGAUCCAGAUUAUUAAUAAUUUGAGUUCCACUUUUACAGUUUUUGUUUGUUUCAAGUUAUUUGUUAAUAAUCGAAUGUAAUAACUAAACCAAAAUUUUCCCCUUUUAAUUAUUUCUAUUUCUAUAUAGAAAGAGUUUUAAGAAAACAGAUGCCUCUGUCUGUGUCUGUGAACAGGAGUGUUGGGUCUAAAGCCUUUUUCUGGUAGCUCUGCAGGAAGAUUGCCCACCUCACCCUUGCUUUCUGUGGGUUCUAGAGGCUUUCAUUUAAAGGAGCAUCUCUCCCCACUCUGCCUCACCUGUACCCACUCUCUCUCUCCUGUACCCACUGGCUUUCUAAACGCUUUCUUCCACCUCCACCUCAUUGAAUUCAAGACUCUGGAAAAUAGCCAAAAAUUAUAAAAAGGUGGGAGUAGGAGUGAUCUGAAAAUCCCUGCUGUAAUAUUUUUAAAGGAAUCUACUGGAAACUAUGUUUUAAAUAAAGCCAUCCCUUACUUAGCACUAGAAUAUCAAGCCAUUCAUUUUUUUAACAGAACUUUGAGAUAUAAUUCAAAUGUUUUUUAUAUGAAUAUAUGUGUAUGUGUAUAUAUACAACUAUAUACAUGUGUAUGUGUAUAUACACAUGGUUGUAUAUCUAUGCACAUACACACACACACACACAUAUAUAUAUAUAUAUAUAUAGUUGUUUUAGGACACAAAAAUACUGAUCUUGAGAAAAAAGCAUUGGUCUACAGAAAUAUUGAAGCUAUCUGACAUAGCAAAAGUCCCCUUUAAGAAAAUGCCUUACAAGCACAGUGACAGAAAAUGCUCAUAGCGUGUAUAUGUGAAGAAUAUGUCACGUUGGCCCCAGCUGUCAGCAUUGCCAGUGUUGCUGCUGUCCUCAGUGCAGACAGCUGUGGCAUUUGUUCAGAACCUUUGAAUGCUGAGCCCUGCCCAGGCCACAGAGCCUAAAUUGGACAGAGGGGUGGGACUGUGGGUCAGAAUCAGCAUAGUGAGGAGGGCGGGUGUGUGGACCAGAGCUGACUGUGGAUCCCUGUCCCCAGGUAAGGUGCCCCCUCCUCUGUACAGCGAAUGAGGAGGGUAAAGACAGGAGCCCUGGGGAUGGUUCAGAUGCCACUCCGCUUUCUGACACUCUGCUGUGGAGCCUCAGCUUUCCGAAGCUACCUUACAUCUCACAAAGCCUUCACAGGAGCAGAGCCACUGCAUUUAAGUAAGAGCUGCGACCUGCCUGUUCCUGGGCCCCUCUGCCCUGAGUUCUCACAGCUGACCCGGUGGGAUGAAGGUGUGUCCUAGCAGGUCAGUGUUGCCACCCAAAUCUAACCAGGGGGCUCUCUGAUGACCAAACUCCCAUGGAGGUUCUGAGUCAUUUUCCAGCUGGGAGAGGCCAUCUCAGGAGUGUCCCUUACUGUCCCACACUGCCCUCAGACCCCAAAGCCUUCCUGCCUGACACACCAGGGAAUCUCAGGUGGAGAGCCUUGGCUGUCCUGAUCCUCCUUUCUGAAGCUGCUCACGAUGUUAGAGAGGGGCGAGGGCAGCCAGGAAUCCUAAAUAAAGGGGGCGUGGGUUGAAGGGAGUUCACUUGUUCCUGCCAGCUCUGCCAGCACAGCAUGUGUGGUACUUUCUAUCUGUCGGUGAUUCCUGGGACUCAGAAGCACAGAGUUUACUCACACUAUUAACACUCAUCAUCAGCCACCUAAAGGCCUCUCUUUCAUAUGUUUCCUUAUCACCAUUUCGACUCAUAUUUUCCUCCAUCUCUUGGUCACCAACUCAAGUGUAAAUCAUGCGGUUCCACUCCAACUUCCAAAUUAUCUCUACAGAUAUUUAAAGAAUUCAUAGUGUGUUUCCAUUUCUUAAGUAAAUAAUUUUUCCUCUUUAGGCCUCAUCUGGUUUAUUUUUUAUUUUUUCUAAGAUUUAAACUCAGACUUAAACAUUUAGUUUCAUCCAUGUGUGCAUAUGAACCAUUUUUGUUACUUCCAACAGAUCAGCAUUGUGUAAACUACAUUUUAAUUUAAACCCUGCGCUGAGCAGCCAGGUUGCUGCUGAUACCACGUGACCAGUGAUGACUUCCUCCUGCACAUUUCCCUUCAUCUCUGAACCACAGUAGACUAGCUGCAUGGAGGGUGCACACUUAAUAUUACUAUUUGCUGAGGGACAUCCUGCCGGAUGGCUGAGAUUGUAAAUAUCCCAGUUGUGAGUGAGAGCUUCUGAAGCUCCAGAGCCUGACUGGAAAUUUAUUUUUAUUUUUUAAAUUGCAACGUUAGUUGUCUGCUCAACACUCAUGGGUUUCAUGCCUCACUCGGAAGUAUCUGCACAAUUCUAGGGCAUCCACAGGAACCUAUAGGUUUUGCCUGCCCCUGCCCCUGGCUGGCUGAUCUCCAAACCUUCUUCCUGGCUUUCUGCUGAGGGGGCUCUGGCAGCUCCUGCCACUCCCAUCCUCUCCCCCCAAGCCCUUUUGGUUUGCUCUCUGCUCUUCCAGGUAGCUCCUCCGACAGAGACGUGCUGGGCUCCACAGGGGUUUCUUUCACCUCAGGUGGAUCAGAACAUGUGUUCAUGUGACUUAUUCAUCCACAUUUUGCCUUCUCUAAAUUGCUUUGUUGUGAUAUUUGUCCAUUUUUAGUGACAUUUCCAUUUUAUCUGUCUUCUAUUUUUUUUCUGAAAUCUAGAUUGUCCUUGCUAGUAUCUUUCCAUUGUUUCAUAGCCAUCUGCAAUUUUGCCUGUUGGAUCCUUCUAACAAAGCACCUUAAAUAGUCAUUCAGGAGCUCAUAAGGUUAUGUGACUUAUCAAAAUCCUAGAAACCUCAGCAAGUUCAGCACAUGAAAAUGCACUCAAUCCCAAGUCAUUAGCAGAGUACACAUUGAAACUAGAUUCUCACUCUUACACCCACCAGAACAGGCACGUUAUCGGACACAAAAAUGCAAAGGGUUGUGAGGAUGUGAAGGAACUUGAACUGUUGUGUUACUCUGGGAACAUACUUAGUUUCAACCAUUUUGAUAAAUGGCUUUCUAGUGUGUACUACAGUCAUCAGCACCUGUAACCCUACAGUCCCACUCCUGCCACCUAUGUCCACGAGACACGUAUGAGCCAAGGAUGUUGGUGUCCAUGUGGGGGACUUUACAGAAGCCUUGUUUCAAGCAACCAUCAUGAGAAACAGCAGAGUGAAUGUAAAAAACAAGGAGGUGUGAACUAGUUGUGCCAACUUUCUACAAUGUUACGUACUGACUCAGCAGUACAAAAUGACAAAUGUUUCAUCACGUGAAACAUGGGUGAAAUUCACAUAUUCACAUAUAAUUUUCAACCAGAAACAAAAGAGUACAUACUGUAGGUUUGCAUUUAUAUGAUGUUUAAAAAUAAAUUUAAAAUGUGUCGAACGAUCCAAGAUGGCCGAUCGCUAACAUCCCGAGAUUGCAGCUCUCAGGGAAGGCGCGAAGAACUAGAGGACGCCACACUUUCAGACAAAGUCUGGUUGCUCACGGAGCAGAAGAUCCCCCAGUGGAGGAAACACACGGGUCGCCAGCGUGACUCUAGUGGCCGCGCAGCGGUUCCACCCGCACCUCAGCGCGGCAGCUCUCGGAGCAGAGUAAACACAUUUGGAGGACCCGCACGGGCCCCCAACACAAUACCAGAGCCCGGCGCAGCGGCAGUGACGGCACCUCGCCGCGGCAGCGCUCGGCGCAGAGUAAACGGGACUGGGGUUCCCCUUCUGACCGCGGUUUGGAGCCCUGGGAAGGCAAAGUCGCCUACUACAGACACAAGAAGGAAGCCCGACAGGAGACUCCUGGGCAGAAAAGCACCAUCAGUUUUAACGCCGCUGCUCUGGCCCUGGGAACUAACAACCCGGACGCCCACUCAAGAGACCUAAUCUGAAAGUUGGUAAUUUCAAAGACGACAGGAGGAUAAAUUUACAAUGACGGGAAGAAACCAGCGUAAAAAAGCUGAGAAUACUCAAAGUCAGAACGCCUCUCCCUCUAAAGAUGAUCACAGUUCCACAUCGACAAUGGAACAAGGCUUGAUGGAGAACGAGCGCAUCCUGAUGACAGAAUCACUCUUCAAGGAAUGGAUAAUAACAAACUUCGGUGAGUUAAAAGAACAUGUUGUAGCCCAACGUAAAGAAACUAGGAACUUUGAAAAAAGGUUUGAUGAAAUCCUAUUGAGAAUA